rfam:Trichobilharzia regenti genome assembly, scaffold: TRE_scaffold0011171
GUACUGCUGAGAGGUCCCAAACUAGGACGAAACAGCUGUCCAGUAC